rnacentral:rRNA from 1 species
GAAACCGGAGCUAAUACCGGAUAAUAUUUUGAACCGCAUGGUUCAAAAGUGAAAGACGGUCUUGCUGUCACUUAUAGAUGGAUCCGCGCUGCAUUAGCUAGUUGGUAAGGUAACGGCUUACCAAGUCAACGAUGCAUAGCCGACCUGAGAGGGUGAUCGGCCACACUGGAACUGAGACACGGUCCAG